UGACCUCGAAUCAGGCGGGACUACCCGCUGAACUUAAGGAUAUCAAUAAGCGGAGGAAAAGAAACUAACAAGGAUUCCCCUAGUAACGGCGAGUGAAGCGGGAUGAGCUCAAAUUUAAAAUCUGGCAGUCUUCGAUUGUCCGAGUUGUAAUCUAGAGAAGCGUUUUCCGCUCUGGACUGUGUACAAGUUUCCUGGAACGGAACAUCAUAGAGGGUGAGAAUCCCGUCCUUGACACAGACUCCCAGUGCUCUGCGAUGCGCUCUCGACGAGUCGAGUUGUUUGGGAUUGCAGCUCAAAAUGGGAGGUAAAUUCCUUCUAAAGCUAAAUAUUGGCGAGAGACCGAUAGCGAACAAGUACCGUGAGGGAA
rnacentral:rRNA from 1 species